UACCUGCAGCUCGAGUGGUAACCGCUACUAUUGGGCCUAAAGCGUCCGUAGCCGGUUUGGUAAAUAUCUGGGUAAAUCGUGAGGCUUAACUUCACGAAUUUCGGAUAGACUGCCAGACUUGGGAUCGGGGGAGGUCAGAGGUACUCCAGGGGUAGCGGUGAAAUGUUGUAAUCCUUGGAGGACCACCGGUAGCGAAGGCGUCUGACUAGAACGAGUCCGACGGUGAGGGACGAAGCCCUGGGGCGCAAACCGGAUUAGAUACCCGGGUAGUCCAGGGUGUAAACGAUGUGGGCUUUGUAUUGGAGGUCCCACGUGGGCGUCCAGUGCAGAAGAGAAGUUGUUAAGCCCACCGCCUGGGAAGUACGGUCGCAAGGCUGAAACUUAAAGGAAUUGGCGGGGGAGCACAGCAACGGGAGGAGCGUGCGGUUU
rnacentral:rRNA from 1 species